AUAACGUUCAAACUGCGGUUCUCGUACAAUCACCGAAGUUAAGCAACGUCAAGCCCAAUAAGUACCCGGGUGAGUGACCGCUUGGGAAUACCUGGUU